GUUAUUAAAAAAUUCUAGUAGCUUAGUGGUUAGAGUAUCAGUCUCCAAUUCUAAAGUACUUGGGUUCAUAUCCUAUCAAUGACA